rnacentral:rRNA from 1 species
UACAGAGGUCUCAAGCGUUGUUCGGAUUCAUUGGGCGUAAAGGGUGCGUAGGCGGCGCGGUAAGUCGGGUGUGAAAUCUCGGAGCUUAACUCCGAAACUGCAUUCGAUACUGCCGUGCUUGAGGACUGGAGAGGAGACUGGAAUUUACGGUGUAGCGGUGAAAUGCGUUGAUAUCUACAGGAACUCCGGUGGCGAAAGCGGCGGUGCUGGAC